UUAGGGAAGCGUCAAAUUCUCGCUUCCCCAACGGCUAGCAGUUUCACGAAAGGCAUGUAUGAUGUGGCGCUGAUGUGUAAUCUGAUGUGGCACAGUUGGUUUCUGAUAUGCUGCAUUGUGAAUAUCUUUUGAAGCCCUAACCACGAAUUGGGAUAAGUGGAUGUCGCAGACGAUCGGUGGAUCAGGGAGUUCUUUUCACACGGUGAUGUUGACUAGUGGACACUGCUCUGUAACCAAUUUUCCAUUGGCACCCCGCUAAUCCCUUGCAAAUCGUUGCUUCUUUUCGCCUUGCUGCUACCAUUCCCCUCCUCUGAACCAGUCUGUUGUUUCAAUGCCUCCUCAUAGUGGUCGUGAAACUAGGGUUGAGACUAGUUCAUCAUCGGAUGAGGAUGAAUAGUAGUCAACACAAUUGUUAUCCCAUUGUUAUUAGAGACAUAUGCAUCGAGCUUAACUAAGCUGCCUUGUCGCACCUCUUCUUUGAUUGGACAGAAUUAUAUGUGGCAAGAAAUACUAAACGAUCUUGAAAACCUAGAUAGGUGCUAUGAGUCAUUUAGGAUGGAACACCAUGUAUUCAAAAACUUUGUUGACCUGCUUAGGGGGAGGGGUCUUCUAAAAAACACAAGACGGACCAUAGUUGAGGAGUCUCGUGCAAUGUUCCUACUCACCAUAAGCCAAAAUGAUAGAAACUGUGCAAUGACCAAGCAAUUUCAACAUUCAACAUGGACCAUUAACACUCACAUAAAGAAGGUUGUUAGAGCAAUAUGUAAGUUAGGGAAGGAGCUCAUUACUUCACCAUCCUUCACAGAGACACCGACACACAUCAGAAGAUCAGAGAGAUACUUUCCCAUGUUUAAGGAUUGUGUGGGGGAUAUAGAUGGCACCCAUGUCUCAGCAUAUGUACCACAUGACAAGAAAAUCCCCUUUAGAGGCAAGAAGAAGGUUUGUACAUCAAAUGUCUUGGCCUUGUGUGCCUUUGACAUGAUGUUCAAAUUCAUAUACACUAGGUGAGAUGGUUCAACUCAUGAUUCUAGGAUACAUGCAGAAGCUAUUGCUAGGUCAAACAUCUGCUUCCCAGAACCUCCUCCAGGGAAAUACUAUCUUGUUGAUUCUGGCUUUGCUAAUGCACCCGGCUAUAUCACACCAUACUUUGGUCGGCUUUAUCACUUAAGUGGAUUCCAUGGGCAACGAGAUGCUAAUGAUGGAGGGAGUUUUUUUGCCGAUGUGCUCAUGUGGAAAUGGAGAAAUGACAUUGCACAUGUCCAUUGAGAGGGGAUCACAGGGGCUCUUUCAUAUGGGUAGACCAGUACAAUGGGAGAUACCAACACCCGAUAGGGAUGCCCCAAAAUGACACCGCUCUUCGUCAUUUGUGCAACCACAACCAACUAAUAGUAACAUUGCUUUGUUAGCUUGUUAUGGUUGCAAUAUCCUAUGUUUUAUAUUUUGGGCAUGGGUAUGCUUGGUUGUUCUAGUACUCAAGAUUAUGUAGUAAAAUGAUAAAAAUAUGGAACUUGUCUAGCAACGUAGACUUUUUAGAAUUUAAUUACGUACAAAAACUUAUUAGAUGUCAUAGUGAUAUAGGCUUAUAUACAAAAACCUAUCAGACUUGUUAACUAGCACUGCAUACUUGUUAGUAUGGAACACAUAAGCCUUUUGUGAUUUUAUUUUUUCAAUUUUCUUGGAUGCAGCUGAGAGAGAGAGAUGCCUUGGAGGUACACAUAUUGGUACAUUGUAUCUUUUUCUAAUUAUGCAUC